ensembl:lncRNA
CUGGCUAACUCAUUGAUCCUGCUUUGUAGAGUCUACCCCUCUGGUUGCUUGUCAAAGUUAGCUGGCUAACUCAUUGAUCCUGCUUUGUAGAGUCUACCUCUCUGAUGGUUCAGUGUGGGACGGAGGAUGGGAAGUUUCAUCGGUAGUCUGAGACUGGGAGAAAACCUCGUGCUCGUUGCUUUCAACCUCUCUUCUCUCGUGCUGGUUUUCCUCUGGAGAUAUUGGUUCCUCUAAAAGCUUUACAUUUGUUUUAAUGUGACUACAUUUAUCACAUUUAGUUUCCUGUUUGCAAUUAACCGAAUUGACGAUCCGUCCAUCAAAUCUGUUGUUGUGUGAAAUAGGCUACACAGUUUUGUUUUGGGCUCUCGAAACCCUGGGAGAAUAGGGUCCCAGUCCAAAGGGCCAUUAUCAGUUUACGCUGACUAUCUAUACUGAAAGGCAUUCUUCCUGUUGGGGGAAAGAUACUUCAAGGAAAAGAUACUGUAGAUCUAUCACCUAGGCUAGGAACAUGGAAUCCAAAGAACAUUCACCCCAACUGUUCUAUAAUGGAACAUAGAACUGUCAUAAUAACCUAGUCUGAGUACCAGUCUCUUAGCUAACAUUCUACUCCUUGCCAUUACCAUAUUUGGCACAUGACAACAUGUACGUGACAAUUAAUAUGUUGAUUUGAUUUGUGUAUAGGGAGUGGAUUCUCUAGAGACUGGUACCCAGGCUAAUGAUAACCUUGGAACUAGCCUAACUAAGAGACUGGUACCCAGGCUAAUGAUAACCUUGGACCUAGCCUAACUAAGAGACUGGUACCCAGGCUAAUGAUAACCUUGGACCUAGCCUAACUAAGAGACUGGUACCCAGGCUAAUGAUAACCUUGGACCUAGCCUAACUAAGCAUGAUGCAGUCUUAAACGGUAAUACUUAACCUUACAUAGGUAAUAUACAUAUCUAAAAGGUGUCAUUCUUGUCUCUUGAGGUACCAAGUAAAGAUGGCACCUUUUUUUCUUCUCUCUGGGAAACUAGUCUGUAGAAACUUUAACCAUGUCAGUGUUUCCGUGCAUCUAAUAUUGAUUUGUAUGCGUUGUGUUGAGAAGCUAGCCCACACGGUGUUUGAGGCUUUGCCAAGACACUUUAAUUACUUUCAUUUCCGUUUGUAUUUUUUUAUCUAAGGUUUGAGGUUGUUUUUAAGUGUGUGUGUCAGUGUGUGUAUGUGAAAGUCCAUCUCUAACCCUGCCUCUAUAUUGUCAGUAUCUUGGCUCAACAUUCUCUCUGCUCUGUCAGUGAAACAACUGUUUUUGCCAGUUUUUUUCCCCCCAGAACAUCUGUCAGAAUUUAAAAUGGAUAUGCAGGAAACUCUGGUCGACAGGUACGACUCUUGACUUUGACGUUUGAUGAAAGCCAUGGCUACAAUGGUUCCCUUAAUAUCCUGUGCUGUUACUCUUAUUCUGGACAUGUAUAACUCUCAAGAAUUGAAUCUCCAGAAUUGACGAUAUUCCCCAAGUUUCUCGAACAGCUACAUCCAGAUGUUUGAAGAGGGGAAAAAAAGAAUAUACAGUAAUUCAAUAAAAAUAUGAACAAUAAAAUCUGUAUGAGAAGUCGCUAGUUCCACAAGUAGGUUCUGGGUAAUCUUGUGCUAGACUGAGAAUCCAGCUGUUUCUGUGUUGAAGAGGGAGGGAGUAAACUACCGCAGUGUUUUCCAAAACACCAUCCGUCCCUCCAGCUGUCCAUCCAAACCCUCUCAUUCUGUCUGUUUCGUUCACCUCCAAUGUGUCCCUUUUCAUUCGGUUUUAUUGUCUCAAUACGUUGUGCAAGAAAAAAAGGAUUUUACAGUCGGUAAAUCCCCCUCCCCUUGAGGUCACAAACUGUACCCUGGCAAUGACCAAAUGAUUAUCUCUUAUUAACCGUUAUCUAUUUCAUUUUGAUCAGACAUCAAAUCAGUCACUCGAAGUCUGUUUUUUUUUAACUUGUAUGAAUAUUUUUCUUGUGAAAUAAUUGCUUGUUAAAGGUUGUGUGAGUUAGAUGCACUGUUCUUUAUUAGACAGUUCACUGUUCUCUUGAAGCAACCCCCAUCCACAAGAACGCAAACCUACAAUAAGUAAUUCUACGUUAUGCAUGCAACAAACCCUAAACUAACUCAGUUGAGUUAAAUACAUCUGGGUUUCAGGGUGGCUACAGCCAGUAGCUGGAUCAGGUGUUGUCACCAUGUUAGCAUUUUCCUUUUUAUUGUAAAUUGUUAAGAAAUUCAAGCAACUAUUUCAAUUGUGUUGAUUGGUGAUUUGUGAGCCUGUUCAGCUCUUUCCAGGUUUUGUGUGUGUGUGUGUGUGUGUGUGUGUGUUAGUCUUCCUCAGUCAUGCACCUCUCUCCCUCAUACAGCCAUCUCUCUGAAACUGCCAGUCAGCCACUCCACAUAAUGCCAUGCAGAUCCUCUGAUGUCACUUCCCGACUUCCUAUUAUAUUUACUGCUUAUCAUCAUUCAAACUAUGUUUGGAGAGAAUGUAGUUACUGUUCCAAAUGACAAGAUACCACAAGAGAGCUGAACAACUCACUGUGAUUAUCUAGUCAAUGAGCUGACGAGGAUGGAUUUAUGGUUCUCAUUAGUAUUGUGUGUGUGUCAUUUUUUUUAAAGAUUUAAGUUUCAAACGAUUUUUGAUUUAAAUGUAGAUUUCUGGAAAUUGUCUGUCAGCUGUUCUCUCUCUCACUUUUUUUUGUUUGUUCCUGUAUUGUGAAACGACAGAUAGAUCUCUCCUGGAAUCUAUGCAAAUAUGUUCUGGUGUCCUAACGCCAAGGCUGAAACGGGAGACGGACUGAGUUAACCUGUAAAUAAUGUAUAAACCAAUGGGUCUUUAGAAAUACAGGGGCAUAUGAAUUAAUCAAGAGGACUGAAUGAAACACAUGCGAAAUGAAUGUCUGAAAUAUUUUUAUAUAAUUUAAGAGAGAAGAAAAACAUGAAACAAAAGCAAAAAAAAAAAAAAACUUUGUGGGGAAAAAUCUGGAAGAAACAGAAAAUAAAGGGAAGGUUUUUAUUCAUUUAUAAAUGUUUUACCUGGCCAUAUGAAUUGUGUCAUGAUGUUUCUUUAUUUAGGCUUUUCUCUCCUGUGUCAAUUAAGCUUCUGACACACCACACAGAACAGUUGAUAUACAGAUCAGCUUCCCACUUAGAGAUGAGCUUGCUCUGUCUUUCACCUGUUAUUCUCCUUUUUAAUCAUUCACACUGUGUGUGUGUGUGUGUGUGUGUGUACUCUAUUUCACAGCAGAACAUUCUACAGAUAUUUAUUAACGGACUCAAACUCUUGUUUAUUAGCCUAGCUCCAAGCGCUGGGGUGAUUGAGUGAGUGAAUCUCAUGCAUGUCUAGAACAUUCACCACUGUCAGUGUGUUGGUUGAUCUAGAACAUUCAC